GUUCCUCUGGCCGCCUCAGGGGGAAACGGUUAACCUCCUCGAAUGCAGCCUCUCUUUGGCUGCUGUAACACUCCUUCCGCUGAGCAUAUUCUCUCUCUUUCGCCAGCCGGAAUUCUCGGUCCAUCCUUGUGUUUUGCUCGGCUGUGACCUGGUUCCAGAUCGCCUGGAAUAUAUCCAUGGGCACAUUAUCACCAUACUGGGCCACUCGCUGCC